rnacentral:rRNA from 1 species
GAUGAACGCUGGCGGCGUGCUUAACACAUGCAAGUCGAACGGAAAGGCCCUGCUUUUGUGGGGUGCUCGAGUGGCGAACGGGUGAGUAACACGUGAGUAACCUGCCCUUGACUUUGGGAUAACUUCAGGAAACUGGGACUAAUACCGGAUAGGAGCUCCUGCUGCAUGGUGGGGGUUGGAAAGUUUCGGCGGUUGGGUAUGGACUCGCGGUUUAUGCGCUUGUUGGUGGGGUAGUGGCAUACCAAGGCUUUGACGGGUAGCCGGCCUGAGAGGGUGAGCGGCCACAGUGGGACUGAGAUACGGCCCAGACUCCUACGGGGGGCAGCAGUGGGAAAUAUUGCACAAUGGGCGGAAGCCAUGUGCAGCAGCGCCGCGUGCGGGAUGACGGCCUUCGGGGUGUAAACCGCUUUCGCCUGUGACGGAGCGUGUGUGACGGUAAUGGGUAAAGAAGCACCGGCUAACUACGUG